GUGUGACCCCAGCAUGCAAAGCUGCUACCUUCACCAGACGGUGCAGGAAAUCAGAAACACACCAGGCCAAGGCAGUUCUGAAUCCGUAGUGGAGCAAGUCAGAACACCUCUCAAAGUCACUCACACGUACGCCACAGCCUGUGUCAACAAGAGACACCGUAGGAGCCCUAACGCUGCAGGAUGGAGAAAGGUGAACAGGAAACAGAAGGUGCCCAUGGAGGAGGUAUAUGACAUCUGUCAGGAUCCAGGGUGGGCGGGGGAUUCAGCGCCCCCCUUCUGCCGGCCGAGGGUCACCCAUCGCACUGCAGUCGCUGAAGUUGUCACGACACCGUGACACUUCCUUGGCAAUGGUGGCUGAGAGCCGGACAGCCCUCGGACGUUCAAG
ensembl:lncRNA